rfam:Gossypium raimondii Chr09_contig_186, whole genome shotgun sequence.
AUACUUACCUGGACGGGGUCGAUGGAUGAUCACCAAAGUUCAUGGCCUAGGGUAGUGACCUCCAUUGCACUUAGGAGGGGUGCUUCCCUAAGGUCUCCCCAAGUGGGAGAGCCUGCGUCAUAAUUUGUGGCAGAGGGGACCUGCGUUCGCGCGGUUCCUAC